rnacentral:rRNA from 1 species
GGGGCCGACGGAUUAGUCAAAGGAAAACGAGGAAAUCCCAACACCAAAGUCUACUUCCCCCGGUUCCGUUCCGUUCCGUUUCUCAGGUUCUCUUUCCUCACACCAUCGACACGAAUCGACCCUGAGUCCCGAAUCGAAUCUCACUGAGUCCCGAGUCGGUCGAACCGAAUCCCUCUCAUCCCCGUUGAUCGCCCACGCCCAACAUUCGGGGAGGAGGAAUAGCGGAGGAGGAGGCCAAGGACCGCCGCCGCCGCCGCCGCCAUGGCCGCGCUGCCGGUGAUGAAGCUGGGGACGCUGCUCCUGCGGACGCUGUCCAAGCCUAUCGCUAACCGCCUCAAGAGCCAGGCCGCCGUCCACCCCAAGUUUCGCGACUUCAUCAUCAGCAUCGCCCAGACAAACCAUCGUAUCACUACAAGGAUACAAAGGCGCAUUUAUGGGCAUGCUACUAAUGUGGCUAUCAGACCUUUAGAUGAGGAGAAGGCAGUACAAGUUGCUACAGAUCUCAUUGGAGAAGGCUUCAUCUUUUCGGUUGCUGUCGCUGCUUUAAUUUUCGAGGUGCAAAGAAGUGCUAGGUCAGAGGCUAGAAAGGAGGAAGCUCGUAAACAGGAACUUGAGGAACUGAGACAAAAGGAAGAGAUUUUAGCUAAAGAUUUAGAAGAUCUCAAGCUGAAGCUGGCUGAACUUGAGCGCCUCGCCAAAGGCCGGGGCCUUUCUGGAAUAUUGAACUUCAAAGGUGUCAAUGCAGCAGAUAGCAGCAAGGAAGCAACACCUGCUUGAUUUAUCGAUUCAACUUUGGUCAGGAGAAAGGGGGAUGUUGUGUUGUUGAGUUUAUGCACAAAGCACCUCACAAUUGGCUAAUUGGUUUCUUCUGUCACAGUUCUUUGAUAUUAUAGCCAUGCCCAUUCUUUGGGUGAAUGGAUCAAAUUUUAUGGUGGUUGAUCCAUUAGACAUCCUGAAAUAAUAGAGUGAUUGUGUGAGGAAAAAGCCCGGGUACUUUUGGGUAAGUGACCGCAGAACAAGAUAUAAAGAUGAAUGUAUUCUUACUUUGGGCCUUUGGCUCGCUAACACAUAAGUGAGAAGUAUGAUUGUGCUGUGGGCUCCCAACAGAUUAUUAUCCGAAAUUUCUCCUCAACCAUGUAUGUCGGUGGUCCAUUGUGAGAGACUGAUACCAAGGCAGAAUGAAACGGUUUGUUUCACCUGAUUCUAUUUUUUUUUGCUGAACACAUAUGUGAGCCGUGGACUUGUAAACGAUUAAUCAUAAUGUUGUGUUGUACGGAGUAUAAUUGAAGAUGGCCUCUCCAUUUUUCUGAAGAAGACAUGUACAACUGAUGUCAUGUUCUUUUCUGCUGAUGCAUUCUGGAAGGAUUGCUGUUCAG